rnacentral:tRNA from 1 species
AUUUUAAUAGCCGAAUGCGGUAAAGCGCUUCGCUUGCAAACCGGGAAUCCCGGGUUCGAAUCCAGGUUAAGACU